rnacentral:piRNA from 1 species
UGCCUAUCAGUCCCUCCAAGCUAGGCCU